UACGUAGGGCGCAAGCGUUAUCCGGAAUUAUUGGGCGUAAAGGGCUCGUAGGCGGUCUGUCGCGUCGGGAGUGAAAAACUCAGGGCUUAACCCUGAGCCUGCUUCCGAUACGGGCAGACUAGAGGUAUGCAGGGGAGAACGAAUUCCUGGUGUAGCGGUGGAAUGCGCAGAUAUCAGGAGGAACACCGGUGGCGAAGGCGGUUCUCUGGGCAUUACCUGACGCUGAGGAGCGAAAGUGUGGGGAGCGAACAGG
rnacentral:rRNA from 1 species